rnacentral:rRNA from 1 species
GACGAACGCUGGCGGCGUGCUUAACACAUGCAAGUCGAACGGAAAGGCCCUGCGUUUGUGGGGUGCUCGAGUGGCGAACGGGUGAGUAACACGUGAGUAACCUGCCCUUGACUGUGGGAGAACUUCAGGAAACUCGGGCUAAUACCGGAUAUGAGCUCUUGCUGCAUGGGGGGGGUUGGAAAGUUUCGGCUGUUGGGGAUGGACUCGCGGCUUAUCAGCUUGUUGGUGGGGUAGUGGCUUACCAAGCGUUCGACGGAUAGCCGGCAUGAGAGGCUGACCAGCGACAAUGGGACUAAGGGACGGAGCAGAAUCGAACGGGCGGCAACAGUGGGAAGUAUGGCGGAGUGGGCGGGAGCGAGUUGCGAAGGCGCUCGGUGCGGAAAAACGGGCUACGGGUGAAGAACAACUUUGGACGGAGACAAGGCGGGAGUGACGGUAAUGAAUAAGAAAGCAACGGCUAACUACGUG